AUACUUAGCUGGCAGGGGAGAUACCACGAUUACAAAGGUGGUUUUCCCAGUGCAAGGCUUAUCUGUUGCACUGAAGAUGUGCUGACUCUUGCAAUUUCCCGAAACGUGGGAAACUUGACUGCAUAAUGUGUGUUAGUAGGGGAGUACGAAAAAAAUUUUUUUCAUU